UAAUACGUAGGGGGCAAGCGUUGUCCGGAAUCAUUGGGCGUAAAGAGCGUGUAGGCGGCCCGACAAGUCCGCCGUGAAAGUCCGAGGCUCAACCUCGGAAUGCCGGUGGAAACUGUCGGGCUUGAGUUCGGAAGAGGCGAGUGGAAUUCCUGGUGUAGCGGUGAAAUGCGCAGAUAUCAGGAGGAACACCAAUGGCGAAGGCAGCUCGCUGGGACGACACUGACGCUGAGACGCGAAAGCGUGGGGAGCAAACAGGAUUAGAUACCCUGGUAGUCCACGCCGUAAACGAUGGCCACUAGGUGUGGGGGGUGUCGACUCCCCCCGUGCCGGCGCUAACGCAUUAAGUGGCCCGCCUGGGGAGUACGGCCGCAAGGCUA
rnacentral:rRNA from 1 species